rnacentral:rRNA from 1 species
GACAGAGGGUGCAAGCGUUGUUCGGAAUUACUGGGCGUAAAGCGCGUGUAGGCGGCUUAGCAAGUCGGAUGUGAAAGCCCUGGGCUUAACCCAGGAAGUGCACUCGAAACUGCUGAGCUUGAGUUCUGGAGAGGAAGGCGGAAUUCUCGGUGUAGAGGUGAAAUUCGUAGAUAUUGGGAAGAACACCGGUGGCGAAGGCGGCUCUCUGGACCGAGACUGACGCUGAGGCGCGAAAGCGUGGGGAGCAAACAGG